AGAGUUUGAUCCUGGCUCAGAUUGAACGCUGGCGGCAUGCCUUACACAUGCAAGUCGAACGGCAGCACGGGUGCUUGCACCUGGUGGCGAGUGGCGAACGGGUGAGUAAUAUAUCGGAACGUACCUUAUCGUGGGGGAUAACGCAGCGAAAGCUGCGCUAAUACCGCAUACGCCCUGAGGGGGAAAGCGGGGGACCGUAAGGCCUCGCGCGAUUAGAGCGGCCGAUAUCUGAUUAGCUCGUUGGUGGGGUAAAAGCCCACCAAGGCGACGAUCAGUAGCUGGUCUGAGAGGACGAUCAGCCACACUGGGACUGAGACACGGCCCAGACUCCUACGGGAGGCAGCAGUGGGGAAUUUUGGACAAUGGGGGCAACCCUGAUCCAGCAAUGCCGCGUGAGUGAAGAAGGCCUUCGGGUUGUAAAGCUCUUUUGUCAGGGAAGAAACAGCAGCUCUAACACAGUCUGCGAAUGACGGUACCUGAAGAAUAAGCACCGGCUAACUACGUGCCAGCAGCCGCGGUAAUACGUAGGGUGCAAGCGUUAAUCGGAAUUAC
rnacentral:rRNA from 1 species